GACGAACGCUGGCGGCGUGCUUAACACAUGCAAGUCGAACGAGUGGCGAACGGGUGAGUAAUACGUGGGUAACCUGCCCUCUUUUUGGGAUAAGCCUCGGAAACCGGGUCCAAUACCGACUAAGGGGGAUGGGCUCUCGGCUUGUCAGCUUGGUGGUGGGGUGGUGGCCUACCGAGGCGGUGACGGGUAGCCGGGCUGAGAGGGGGACCUGGCACAUUGAGACUGUGCAACGGCCCAGGCGCGGACGGGGGGGGGCAGUGGGGGAUAUUGCACAAUGGGCGAAAGCCUGAUGCCGCGACUCCGCGUGGGGGAUGAAGGCUUUCGGGUUGUAAACCUCUUUCGCAAUCGAACGGGUAGGUGGAGAAGAAGCGCCGGAUAACUACGUGCCAGCAGCCGCGGUAAUUC
rnacentral:rRNA from 1 species